CACCAACCCCUCCUGUGGUCAUCAAUGAGCCCCCUCAAGUGCAACAAGAUCAUUCAUCUCAGAAGACACACAAGGAAAACUUUAGAGUUGGUGUGAAAGGUCACAAUGUCAAAAGGCAAC